rnacentral:rRNA from 1 species
GACUGCUAAUACCGCAUAAGCCCACGGCUCGGCAUCGAGCAGAGGGAAAAGGAGCAAUCCGCUUUGAGAUGGCCUCGCGUCCGAUUAGCUAGUUGGUGAGGUAAUGGCCCACCAAGGCGACGAUCGGUAGCCGGACUGAGAGGUUGAACGGCCACAUUGGGACUGAGACACGGCCCAGACUCCUACGGGAGGCAGCAGUGGGGAAUAUUGCACAAUGGGGGAAACCCUGAUGCAGCGACGCCGCGUGGAGGAAGAAGGUCUUCGGAUUGUAAACUCCUGUUGUUGAGGAAGAUAAUGACGGUACUCAACAAGGAAGUGACGGCU